GACGAACGCUGGCGGCGUGCUUAACACAUGCAAGUCGAACGGUAAGGCCCUUCGGGGUACACGAGUGGCGAACGGGUGAGUAACACGUGGGUGAUCUGCCCUGCACUUCGGGAUAAGCCUGGGAAACUGGGUCUAAUACCGGAUAGGACCACUGCCUGCAUGGGUGGUGGUGGAAAGCUUUUGCGGUGUGGGAUGGGCCCGCGGCCUAUCAGCUUGUUGGUGGGGUGAUGGCCUACCAAGGCGACGACGGGUAGCCGGCCUGAGAGGGUGACCGGCCAAACUGGGAGUGAGGUACGGCCCAGACUCCUACGGGAGGCAGCGGUGGGGAAUAUUGCACAAUGGGCGCAAGCCUGAUGCAGCGACGCCGCGUGAGGGAUGACGGCCUUCGGGUUGUAAACCUCUUUCAGCACCGACGAAGCGCAAGUGACGGUAGGUGCAGAAGAAGGACCGGCCAACUACGUGCCAGCCGCCGCAGUAA
rnacentral:rRNA from 1 species